GACGAACGCUGGCGGCGUGCCUAAUACAUGCAAGUUGAACGCUGAAGGUCGGUACUUGUACCGACUGGAUGAGCAGCAAACGGGUGAGUAACGCGUGGGGAAUCUGCCUUUCAGCGGGGGACAACAUGGGGAAACGAAUGCUAAUACCGCAUAAAAACUUUAAACACAGGGUUUAAGGGUGAAAGAUGCCAUUGCAUCACGCAAAGAUGAUCCCGCGUUGUAUUAGCUAGGUGGUGAGGUAAAGGCUCACCAAGGCGAUGAAACAUAGCCCACCUGAGCGGGUGGUCGGCCACACUGGGAGUGUGACCCGGCCCAUAGGGCUUCGGGAGGCACCAGUACGGCAUCGUCGGGCAGGGGCGAAAGUCUGACCGAGCAAGGCCGCGUGAGGGAAGAAGGGUGUCGGGUCGGAAAACUCGGUUGGUAGGGUAGAACGUUGGUGAGAGUGGAAAGCACAUCAAGUGACGGUAACUACCCAGAAAGGGACGGCUAACUACGUG
rnacentral:rRNA from 1 species